AGAAGAUCAAGGAUCAGAAGACAUGAAGACUACCUUCAGUCCUCAUGGACCUUUCUGAAUGAUUGAUUAGGGCAAGCUUUUUGUCUAGGAGAUAGAAAACAAAAAUCCAAAAGAAACAAGAAGAAAGGGAAAGAAAAGAAAAAGAAACCCUAGAUCUUGCACAGAGGUCCGAGAGCAAGCUCCAUCAAUCAUUGGGAAACCCAGAAGAGAGAGAAAACGGUUUUCGCAAAGGAUCAUGAAACGUGUCG
rnacentral:misc_RNA from 1 species